UACGAAGGGUGCAAACGUUGCUCGGAAUUAUUGGGCGUAAAGCGCACGUAGGCGGCUUGGCAAGUUGGAUGUGAAAUCCCUCGGCUUAACCAAGGAAGUGCAUCCAAAACUGCCGAGCUUGAGUACUUAAGAGGAUCGCGGAAUUCCCGGUGUAGAGGUGAAAUUCGUAGAUAUCGGGAGGAACACCAGUGGCGAAGGCGGCGAUCUGGGAAGAUACUGACGCUGAGGUGCGAAAGCGUGGGGAGCAAACAGG
rnacentral:rRNA from 1 species